UACGAAGGACCCGAGCGUUAUCCGGAUUUAUUGGGUUUAAAGGGUGCGUAGGCGGAUUAGUAAGUCAGUGGUGAAAGCCCGUCGCUUAACGGCGGAACUGCCAUUGAUACUGCUAGUCUUGAGUAUGGUUGAGGUGGGCGGAAUGUGUCACGUAGCGGUGAAAUGCUUAGAUAUGACCCAGAACACCAAUUGCGAAGGCAGCUCGCUAAGCCAUAACUGACGCUGAGGCACGAAAGCGUGGGGAGCAAACAGG
rnacentral:rRNA from 1 species